UACGUAGGGUGCAAGCGUUGUCCGGAAUUAUUGGGCGUAAAGAGCUCGUAGGCGGUUUGUCGCGUCUGCUGUGAAAAUCCAGGGCUUAACCCUGGACCUGCAGUGGGUACGGGCAGACUGGAGUGCGGUAGGGGAGAUCGGAAUUCCGGGUGUAGCGGUGAAAUGCGUAGAUAUCCGGAGGAACACCGGUGGCGAAGGCGGCUUUCUGGACCGACACUGACGCUGAGGCGCGAAAGCUAGGGGAGCAAACGGG
rnacentral:rRNA from 1 species